CAGUCGCCACGGUAAUACAGAGGUUGCGAGCGUUAAUCGGAUUUACUGGGCGUAAAGCGUGCGUAGGCGGCUUCUUAAGUCGGAUGUGAAAUCCCUGAGCUUAACUUAGGAAUUGCAUUCGAUACUGGGAAGCUAGAGUAUGGGAGAGGAUGGUAGAAUUCCAGGUGUAGCGGUGAAAUGCGUAGAGAUCUGGAGGAAUACCGAUGGCGAAGGCAGCCAUCUGGCCUAAUACUGACGCUGAGGUACGAAAGCAUGGGGAGCAAACAGGAUUAGAUACCCCUGUAGUCCCUGUCUCUUAUAA
rnacentral:rRNA from 1 species